rnacentral:rRNA from 1 species
GAAUCUUCCACAAUGGGCGAAAGCCUGAUGGAGCAACGCCGCGUGUGUGAUGAAGGCUUUCGGGUCGUAAAGCACUGUUGUAUGGGAAGAACAGCUAGAAUAGGAAAUGAUUUUAGUUUGACGGUACCAUACCAGAAAGGGACGGCUAAAUACGUGCCAGCAGCCGCGGUAAUACGUAUGUCCCGAGCGUUAUCCGGAUUUAUUGGGCGUAAAGCGAGCGCAGACGGUUUAUUAAGUCUGAUGUGAAAGCCCGGAGCUCAACUCCGGAAUGGCAUUGGAAACUGGUUAACUUGAGUGCAGUAGAGGUAAGUGGAACUCCAUGUGUAGCGGUGGAAUGCGUAGAUAUAUGGAAGAACACCAGUGGCGAAGGCGGCUUACUGGACUGCAACUGACGUUGAGGCUCGAAAGUGUGGGUAGCAAACAGGAUUAGAUACCCUGGUAGUCCACACCGUAAACGAUGAACACUAGGUGUUAGGAGGUUUCCGCCUCUUAGUGCCGAAGCUAACGCAUUAAGUGUUCCGCCUGGGGAGUACGACCGCAAGGUUGAAACUCAAAGGAAUUGACGGGGACCCGCACAAGCGGUGGAGCAUGUGGUUUAAUUCGAAGCAACGCGAAGAACCUUACCAGGUCUUGACAUCCUUUGAAGCUUUUAGAGAUAGAAGUGUUCUCUUCGGAGACAAAGUGACAGGUGGUGCAUGGUCGUCGUCAGCUCGUGUCGUGAGAUGUUGGGUUAAGUCCCGCAACGAGCGCAACCCUUAUUGUUAGUUGCCAGCAUUCAGAUGGGCACUCUAGCGAGACUGCCGGUGACAAACCGGAGGAAGGCGGGGACGACGUCAGAUCAUCAUGCCCCUUAUGACCUGGGCUACACACGUGCUACAAUGGCGUAUACAACGAGUUGCCAACCCGCGAGGGUGAGCUAAUCUCUUAAAGUACGUCUCAGUUCGGAUUGUAGUCUGCAACUCGACUACAUGAAGUCGGAAUCGCUAGUAAUCGCGGAUCAGCACGCCGCGGUGAAUACGUUCCCGGGUCUUGUACACACCGCCCGUCACACCAUGGGAGUUUGUAAUGCCCAAAGCCGGUGGCCUAACCUUUUAGGAAGGAGCCGUCUAAGGCAGGACAGAUGACUGGGGUGAAGUCGUA